AGCAGAAGGUGAGAAAAAGAAGAACAGAAGGAAGCAUUAACAAACUCACAACACACGACCUGGGAACUUUUCUACUAUUCGCUACACCACUAAAGUCCAUGUGAAACAUUCCAGACAUGAGUCAUAAAUGGUGUUUUGUUAUCCUGGUCUUCUCAGUAAUAUGUGGUACAGGAGCAUAUAUUCCUCAUCGCUAUCACUUUGUGAAUGAGAAUAAAACCUGGACUGAAGCUCAGACUUACUGUAGAAAGAAUUACACUGAUCUGGCAACCAUCAGCAACAUGGGAGAGAUGAAGAAGCUGAAUCACACA